UGGGGAAUAUUGGACAAUGGGCGCAAGCCUGAUCCAGCCGCGCCGCGUGAGUGAUGAAGGCCUUCGGGUCGUAAAGCUCUGUGGGGAGGGACGAACGUCCGGGUGCAGAAUCCGGGGUGACGGUACCUCCUUAGCAAGCACCGGCUAACUUCGUGCCAGCAGCCGCGGUAAUACGAAGGGUGCAAACGUUGCUCGGAAUCAUUGGGCGUAAAGCGCACGUAGGCGGCUUCGCAAGUCGGAUGUGAAAUACCUAGGCUCAACCAAGGACGUGCAUCCGAAACUGCGAGGCUUGAGUACAGAAGAGGAUCGCGGAAUUCCCGGUGUAGAGGUGAAAUUCGUAGAUAUCGGGAGGAACACCAGUGGCGAAGGCGGCGAUCUGGGCUGAUACCGACGCUGAGGUGCGAAAGCGUGGGGAGCAAA
rnacentral:rRNA from 1 species